rnacentral:tRNA from 1 species
GCCUUGGUAGUAUAAGGUAGUACAAUAGCUUUGCAAGCUGGGUGUGGGGUUAUCCUUCAAGGUU